UCUCACAAUUUGUUUGUCCACUCCUUAAAGAAGGCACAUUUGGCAAUUCCUGUUUUUGUGCCUAUGAUCUGUAUAGACCUUUCCAGCUCUAGUUACUAGAGAAUCUCCUGAAUUUAAAGUCACUUCGUCUUGCAUUAAAAAUGUAUGCCAAUAGCUAUGUCUGCAAAACUGCUCCAUAAGGGAGCUGAACAUUGAAUCUCUGAAAUAUAAAAUUCUGAUGGUGUCAACUAUCUAUAGAUGAGGAUGUCAAACAUGUGCAUGGUAGGAC
rnacentral:lncRNA from 1 species